rnacentral:rRNA from 1 species
CACGUAGGGUGCGAGCGUUGUCCGGAAUUAUUGGGCGUAAAGAGCUCGUAGGCGGUGUGUCGCGUCGGCCGUGAAAACCUGCAGCUUAACUGUGGGCGUGCGGUCGAUACGGGCAUCACUGGAGUUCGGCAGGGGAGACUGGAAUUCCUGGUGUAGCGGUGAAAUGCGCAGAUAUCAGGAGGAACACCGGCGGCGAAGGCGGGUCUCUGGGCAACAACUGACGCUGAGGAGCGAAAGCGUGGGGAGCGAACAGG